GUCCUUGCAUGACUCCACCCCUUCCCCCAUUAUCCUCUAUGCACAACUUAAGGUAUAAAAAACUAUUUUGGAAAAUAAAGUGCGGGCCUUGUUCACCGAAACUUGGUCUCCCCAUGUCGUUCUUUCUUUCACCUUCUAGCUGAAUUUUUCCUCUGAGGCGGGGAAGCUCGUCAAGCCUACUAAUUUUGCCUGGGCUUCUAAGAUCCGACCGGGGAGGCCUUAGUGUCUCCUCUCCUUUGGGAGAACGGGAGGACGCCUGCGGCCUUCCGUUCAGAUGCCCUCUCGGCUGGCGAGGGUCCUGCUCCUAGCUCCACCCCAUGCAGUUCACACCACCACUGGACCCCCUCUGCCUUCCUCUGCCUGCUGUGCCCAUCUUGGGGCCUGCUACCUGGAUGGCCCACGUCACUGUGGGGCAGGCGGCUCCUGCAGGACCGCACCUGGGCCUGGAGAAGCCCGCUGGCCCCCCCAAGGGUGGCACCACCUUGCUGGUUCUGCUGCAGAGGUCUAGAUGCUGGGCACGCAGGGCCUUGGCACCCCCCGGCCACCAGGACCCUGGCAGCUCUUCUCAGUCUACAGCUGGGAGACAGGUCAGGGAGGACAGGAAUUACGGAGCCACCAGGGAGGCCCCGGGGACCCGGACAGCAGACCAGAGAAAAGACACCUCUCCGCAGCAUGCAACUCAGCCAGUCUGCAACAGCGGAACCAAUGGGAAGCCUCCAUCAACCAUACCCUUAGUUCCUCCAAUGGACUCUUCCGUGAUCAUCGCGGCCCCGCCCAUCUCCUCCUUUUUCCUAUAAAAGCAAGUUCUCCGUCCUUGUCCUGUGGGUUUGCUUACAGUCGGCACCAGAUUGCUUGUCUGAAGUCGAAAUUUCUGUUGCUGUUCCUGAGUAAACUUGCUUUUGCCAGUAAACUAUCUGGCUGUUAUAUUAUUGAAGUUGACAGUUACUAGGUCAAGACUGUUAGUCAUGAUGUGCAAAUAUUCUAUAGCUUUAUUAAUGUCCUGCCUUGUUCUAUUGAUGCUUUUGAACUGUGAUGUUGGAGGAGACUCUUGAGAGUCCUUUGGACAACAAGGAGAGCAAACCAGUCAACCCGAAAGGAAGUCAACCCUGAAUAUUCAUUGGAAGGACUGAUGCUGAAGCUGAAGCUCCAAUACUUUGGCCUCCUGAUGCGAAGAACUGACUCACUGGAAAAGACUCUGAUGCUGGGAAAAUUGACGGCAGGAGGAGAAGGGGAUGACAGAGGAUGAGAUGGUUGGAUGGAAUCACGGACUCCGUGGACAUGAGUUUGACAAGCUCCGGGAGAUAGUGAAGGACAGGGAUGCCUGGCGUGCUGCAGUCCAUGGGAUCACAGAGUCGGGCACGACUGAAUGAAUGAACUGAACUGAAAUUGUUCUAUCUUACACAGAGAAAAAUGUACUGAAAUCUACCAACUUGUCUUUUGCUUCUGUUGAUGUUUGCUUUAAAUUUUGUGGCUAUGUUAAUAGAUGCUUAUCCAUUUAGAAUCAUUUCAGCCUCUCGGAUUUACCCUUUGGUAAUUACGAAAAGCUCUCCACUAUAGUAAUGCAUGUUGUGUUGGAAUCACCUUUGUCUGACAUUAGAUGCUCUACCACCCUUCCUUUGUUUACUGUUUGCAGCGUAUGCCCGUGACUAGCUUCUGAUCCAACAUCUGCACCAGCCCAGGACGCUGCCCACCCUCCACCCCUACCCCCAACCGCCAAGUCUGGAGAUUACACUGGAGCGUCCUGGUGCAGCCAAGCGGGGCUGGGCCGCUAGGGGCGCCAGAGGGAGCGGUGGGGCUGGUGCCGGGGGAGCACACACUCCUUCCGCGGUAAUUCCGGUUGUGUUUGGCCUGUUCCGGGGUCUGCCGAGUUCGGGGCCUGAGGCCUUUGCGCAGGUUUGAGCGUUUCCGUCCGCAGUUGCUUAACGAGGCCGCGGUUGUGCUGGCCCGGAAGCCUCGGGCUCCACUCUCCCCGUGGAGGGGGGUCUCGUCAGCUCCGUGAGCUGGCCCGUUCCUUGGCGCUUCUGCAUGUUAGCGGUUUCCUGAGGCCGGGCCGGCCGCUUGGUGUUACAGCACCUGGGAGCUGAGAAUGUCUUUCCUACACGUAAACGGUGGGGGCGCGGGGGUCGGGGAGGCGGGGCAUCUUUUGUGGAAAUCUAUAAAAUGCAGAUUUCAUUGACCAAAAGUAAAGGUGUCUUUGGAACGCAGCGAGGCUCGUCUGUUGUGUUUACCGCCUCUCGGAGCACUGGCCCCGUGUAUUGGUUUCUCGCUGACCCCUGUGCCGCUCCUGCCAUAGGCAACUCUCUACACUAUUGAUAUCAUUGGGUUAACGAUGUAUGUAGUUCUUUAUAUGUAGUGACACCCCAAGACCUCAUUAUUAC
ensembl:lncRNA